AAGUGACAUGAUGUUUUACCAUCUUUCGGGACUGACUUGAAAUGAAGAGGUCUUUUAGCUUGCUGAUCACUA